rnacentral:rRNA from 1 species
CUAAUACAUGCAAGUAGAACGCUGAAGAGAGGAGCUUGCUCUUCUUGGAUGAGUUGCGAACGGGUGAGUAACGCGUAGGUAACCUGCCUUGUAGCGGGGGAUAACUAUUGGAAACGAUAGCUAAUACCGCAUAACAAUGGAUGACACAUGUCAUUUAUUUGAAAGGGGCAAUUGCUCCACUACAAGAUGGACCUGCGUUGUAUUAGCUAGUAGGUGAGGUAACGGCUCACCUAGGCGACGAUACAUAGCCGACCUGAGAGGGUGAUCGGCCACACUGGGACUGAGACACGGCCCAGACUCCUACGGGAGGCAGCAGUAGGGAAUCUUCGGCAAUGGGGGCAACCUUGACCGAGCAACGCCGCGUGAGUGAAGAAGGUUUUCGGAUCGUAAAGCUCUGUUGUAAGUCAAGAACGAGUGUGAGAGUGGAAAGUUCACACUGUGACGGUAGCUUACCAGAAAGGGACGGCUAACUACGUGCCAGCAGCCGCGGUAAUACGUAGGUCCCGAGCGUUGUCCGGAUUUAUUGGGCGUAAAGCGAGCGCAGGCGGUUUGAUAAGUCUGAAGUUAAAGGCUGUGGCUCAACCAUAGUUCGCUUUGGAAACUGUCAAACUUGAGUGCAGAAGGGGAGAGUGGAAUUCCAUGUGUAGCGGUGAAAUGCGUAGAUAUAUGGAGGAACACCGGUGGCGAAAGCGGCUCUCUGGUCUGUAACUGACGCUGAGGCUCGAAAGCGUGGGGAGCGAACAGGAUUAGAUACCCUGGUAGUCCACGCCGUAAACGAUGAGUGCUAGGUGUUGGAUCCUUUCCGGGAUUCAGUGCCGCAGCUAACGCAUUAAGCACUCCGCCUGGGGAGUACGACCGCAAGGUUGAAACUCAAAGGAAUUGACGGGGGCCCGCACAAGCGGUGGAGCAUGUGGUUUAAUUCGAAGCAACGCGAAGAACCUUACCAGGUCUUGACAUCCCGAUGCUAUUUCUAGAGAUAGAAAGUUACUUCGGUACAUCGGUGACAGGUGGUGCAUGGUUGUCGUCAGCUCGUGUCGUGAGAUGUUGGGUUAAGUCCCGCAACGAGCGCAACCCCUAUUGUUAGUUGCCAUCAUUCAGUUGGGCACUCUAGCGAGACUGCCGGUAAUAAACCGGAGGAAGGUGGGGAUGACGUCAAAUCAUCAUGCCCCUUAUGACCUGGGCUACACACGUGCUACAAUGGUUGGUACAACGAGUUGCGAGUCGGUGACGGCAAGCUAAUCUCUUAAAGCCAAUCUCAGUUCGGAUUGUAGGCUGCAACUCGCCUACAUGAAGUCGGAAUCGCUAGUAAUCGCGGAUCAGCACGCCGCGGUGAAUACGUUCCCGGGCCUUGUACACACCGCCCGUCACACCACGAGAGUUUGUAACACCCGAAGUCGGUGAGGUAACCUUUUGGAGCCAGCCGCCUAAGGUGGGAUAGAUGAUUGGGGUGAAAUC